CUGAAUCCAUAGGUUAAUGAGGCGAACCGGGGGAACUGAAACAUCUAAGUACCCCGAGGAAAAGAAAUCAACCGAGAUUCCCCCAGUAGCGGCGAGCGAACGGGGAGGAGCCCAGAGCCUGAAUCAGCAUGUGUGUUAGUGGAAGCGUCUGGAAAGGCGCGCGAUACAGGGUGACAGCCCCGUACACAAAAGCGCAUGUGCUGUGAGCUCGAUGAGUAGGGCGGGACACGUGGUAUCCUGUCUGAAUAUGGGGGGACCAUCCUCCAAGGCUAAAUACUCCUGACUGACCGAUAGUGAACCAGUACCGUGAGGGAAAGGCGAAAAGAACCCCGGCGAGGGGAGUGAAAAAGAACCUGAAACCGUGUACGUACAAGCAGUGGGAGCACCCUUUGGGUGUGACUGCGUACCUUUUGUAUAAUGGGUCAGCGACUUAUAUUCUGUAGCAAGGUUAACCGAAUAGGGGAGCCGGAGGGAAACCGAGUCUUAAUUGGGCGUUAAGUUGCAGGGUAUAGACCCGAAACCCGGUGAUCUAGCCAUGGGCAGGUUGAAGGUUGGGUAACACUAACUGGAGGACCGAACCGACUAAUGUUGAAAAAUUAGCGGAUGACCUGUGGCUGGGGGUGAAAGGCCAAUCAAACCGGGAGAUAGCUGGUUCUCCCCGAAAGCUAUUUAGGUAGCGCCUCGUGAAUUCAUCUCCGGGGGUAGAGCACUGUUUCGGCUAGGGGGCCAUCCCGGCUUACCAACCCGAUGCAAACUGCGAAUACCGGAGAAUGUUAUCACGGGAGACACACGGCGGGUGCUAACGUCCGUCGUGAAGAGGGAAACAACCCAGACCGCCAGCUAAGGUCCCAAAGUCAUGGUUAAGUGGGAAACGAUGUGGGAAGGCCCAGACAGCCAGGAUGUUGGCUUAGAAGCAGCCAUCAUUUAAAGAAAGCGUAAUAGCUCACUGGUCGAGUCGGCCUGCGCGGAAGAUGUAACGGGGCUAAACCAUGCACCGAAGCUGCGGCAGCGACGCUUAUGCGUUGUUGGGUAGGGGAGCGUUCUGUAAGCCUGCGAAGGUGGCCUGUGAGGGUUGCUGGAGGUAUCAGAAGUGCGAAUGCUGACAUAAGUAACGAUAAAGCGGGUGAAAAGCCCGCUCGCCGGAAGACCAAGGGUUCCUGUCCAACGUUAAUCGGGGCAGGGUGAGUCGACCCCUAAGGCGAGGCCGAAAGGCGUAGUCGAUGGGAAACGGGUUAAUAUUCCCGUACUUGGUGUUACUGCGAAGGGGGGACGGAGAAGGCUAUGUUGGCCGGGCGACGGUUGUCCCGGUUUAAGCGUGUAGGCUGGUUUUCCAGGCAAAUCCGGAAAAUCAAGGCUGAGGCGUGAUGACGAGGCACUACGGUGCUGAAGCAACAAAUGCCCUGCUUCCAGGAAAAGCCUCUAAGCAUCAGGUAACAUCAAAUCGUACCCCAAACCGACACAGGUGGUCAGGUAGAGAAUACCAAGGCGCUUGAGAGAACUCGGGUGAAGGAACUAGGCAAAAUGGUGCCGUAACUUCGGGAGAAGGCACGCUGACACGUAGGUGAAGUGAUUUACUCACGGAGCUGAAGUCAGUCGAAGAUACCAGCUGGCUGCAACUGUUUAUUAAAAACACAGCACUGUGCAAACACGAAAGUGGACGUAUACGGUGUGACGCCUGCCCGGUGCCGGAAGGUUAAUUGAUGGGGUCAGCGCAAGCGAAGCUCCUGAUCGAAGCCCCGGUAAACGGCGGCCGUAACUAUAACGGUCCUAAGGUAGCGAAAUUCCUUGUCGGGUAAGUUCCGACCUGCACGAAUGGCGUAAUGAUGGCCAGGCUGUCUCCACCCGAGACUCAGUGAAAUUGAACUCGCUGUGAAGAUGCAGUGUACCCGCGGCAAGACGGAAAGACCCCGUGAACCUUUACUAUAGCUUGACACUGAACAUUGAGCCUUGAUGUGUAG
rnacentral:rRNA from 1 species